UUUGCACAAGGAGGUGCAGGAGUUUAGGGCAGAAAACCCGAAAAUUAAGCUCCUCGUAAUGCCUUCACAACCUUUUGAAGAAAUAAAGCAAUUCUUAUCAUUUGAAGCUACUCUACAAAGGAAUGGCGUAGUUUUUUCUUCUUUUGAGACGGAAUUUGCAGUGGUUGCCAAAGCACCGAGCUUUGUAAGAAACUGUUGGAAAAAAAUUUUGAUAGAUGAAGUUUUGCCACAGUUGUGCUGGAAAGGGGCGGAAACGAAAAAAAGUAUGCGGCUAUAUCAUGCGGUAUUGGUGAAGAUCAAAUAAUAAAGGAUACUAGAAUUUUCUUUCAAUUUGCCAAAAAUCGCACUAAACUACGUGGAAAUUACAAAAGACGUGAAAAAAC